rnacentral:rRNA from 1 species
GACGAACGCUGGCGGCGUGCUUAACACAUGCAAGUCGAACGAUGAAGCCGGAGCUUGCUCUGGUGAAUUAGUGGCGAACGGGUGAGUAACACGUGAGUAACCUGCCCUUGACUCUGGGAUAACUGCGGGAAACUGUAGCUAAUACCGGAUACGACCCUCGGAGGCAUCUCCUGUGGGUGGAAAGAAUUUCGGUCAAGGAUGGACUCGCGGCCUAUCAGCUAGUUGGUGAGGUAAAGGCUCACCAAGGCGACGACGGGUAGCCGGCCUGAGAGGGUGACCGGCCACACUGGGACUGAGACACGGCCCAGACUCCUACGGGAGGCAGCAGUGGGGAAUAUUGCACAAUGGGCGCAAGCCUGAUGCAGCAACGCCGCGUGAGGGAUGACGGCCUUCGGGUUGUAAACCUCUUUUAGUAGGGAAGAAGCGAAAGUGACGGUACCUGCAGAAAAAGCACCGGCUAACUACGUGCCAGCCGCCACGGUAA